rnacentral:snRNA from 1 species
GGAUGUGAGGGCGAUCUGGCUGUGACAUCUGUCACCCUAUUGAUUGCCAGGGUUGAUUCAGCUGAUCUGGCUCUCUAGGUGGGUGUGCCCUUCCUCAACGCUCCAUGUGCAUCCCUCCUGAAGUUGCACGCUUGGUUGAAGAGGACGACCACCCCCAAUAAAGGAGGAUCAUUCCUCCAUCAAAGGUAUAGGAGUAGCUGCGCUCCCCUGCUAGAACUGCUAAACUAGCUCUCAAAUAUAUGUGAUACACAGAAAGGACGUAUUGGAUACUGAACAGUCUUGGUU